rnacentral:lncRNA from 1 species
GAUUUUCUUUUAUAUACAAGUUUAAAAAGCAAAUAAUUGAUGUUUAAGGUUUAGGGUAUUGUUAGGGUUACUUGUUAUCCACUAAUUUGAAACUGUAAAACAUGAUGGGUUACAUAUAAGUGGUAAAUUUUAUUUUAUUUUUCCUUAACAACAUGCCACUAUUUUUGCAACUAUUUGUCUUCGGAUAGUUACACUUUGGCUGCAUAAUUUGGCUCCAAGGUUUUUCCACUGAAAAUUGUCCAAAUGUUUUUACUAUACCGCUCAUUUUCUAGGGAAUAGAUUUUCGAAACCCAAAUCCUCUUUCUUCCUUAGACCUUUCUUUUCAUCAAUUUUUUAAUUUUCUUCACACUCCAAUCUCAGAAUUCUCUCUUCACCGAAUUUUGAUCGUCUUCACCCUCCA